UCGUCGCUAGAACGAACGACUGGCGGCGUGCUUAACACAUAGCAAGUCGAACGCGAAAGGGACUUCGGUCCUGAGUAAAGUGGCGCACGGGUGAGUAACGCGUAGAUAACCUGUCUUCAUGUCUGGAAUAAUACGCCAAAGGGGUACUAAUACCGGAUAUUCUUGCUUUUCAUAAGUUAUGCAAGCAAGGGUGGCCUCUGCAUAUGCUACUGCAUGAAGAGGGGUCUGCGUACCAUUAGCUAGUAGGUGGGGUAAUGGCCUACCUAGGCGACGAUGGUUAGCGGGUCUGAGAGGAUGAUCCGCCACACUGGCACUGGAACACGGGCCAGACUCCUACGGGAGGCAGCAGUGAGGAAUAUUGCGCAAUGGGGGAAACCCUGACGCAGCGACGCCGCGUGAGUGAGGAAGGCCUUCGGGUCGUAAAGCUCUGUCAAGAGGAAAGAAGUGUACAAUGGCUAAUACCUGUUGUAUUUGACGGUACCUCUAAAGGAAGCACCGGCUAACUCCGUGCCAGCCGCCGC
rnacentral:rRNA from 1 species